CUGGUUAGCAUACUACGGUCUCGUUUCAGGGGAAGUCAAGCCUCUCUACUGCUUCUUUUUAUAACCUUUAAGUUAAUUCAGAACCCAGAUAAGCCUUGAUCUGAGGAUGAUAUAACCACCGCAGGCAACAUGGGAACUUCUAGAGAAAACAAGAAGAAGACUUCAAAAAACAUGCUGUGAUGUCUCCCAGUGGAGACAGGGCACGAGGUGCAGGGAAGAGGAGGUGGCCUGAGCCAGGACGAUGAGGAUGCAAUGUUGAAGAAUAAGCUGGAGAAGAGAAGUAACCGGCACUAUGGAAAAAACCAAAACAAAGCAAGGAGAGAAUGAACAUAUGCCGGUGAAUAAUCCUUCCACGCAGAUUUACCAGAACACUUCCUAAGCCCCAGUCUGUUUACUCCAAGCAACAUUUAACCAAAAGAAGAAGAAGAAAGAGGAGAAGUGAAGAAAGAAGAAGAGAAAGAGAAAGGAGGGAAGCUGGGGAGGAGUUAACCAUAAUAGAAUAAAAUCUAUACUAGAAGGGAGGGCACCAGAAGCAAAAUAUAAUAUUUUGGUAAUUCUCUAUCUCAUUUUAUUUUCUGGAUAGAUCUUAUCCCAUCUGACAUUAUCGUAUGUAUCACCUUGUUUGUUUUUUAAUUUUCUGUCUCCUCAUCUAGAAUGUAAGCUCUAAGGGCAGGAAUUUAGUCCAUUUUCCUCUCUGUUGUAUUCUCAGUGUAAAGUACAAUGCCUGGC
rnacentral:lncRNA from 1 species